rnacentral:RNase_P_RNA from 1 species
GAAGAGGGAGAGGUGACCGCCGGUGGCGUCGCGGCAACGCGGCGUCACGGGAGGAAAGUCCGAGCUUCACAGGGCAAGGUGCUGGUUAACGGCCAGUCGAGGUGACUCGCAGGAAAGUGCCACAGAAAGCAAACCGCCGGUCGCAAGGCCGGUAAGGGUGAAAGGGUGCGGUAAGAGCGCACCGCCUCGCUGGUGACAGCGAGGGCACGGCAAACCCCACCUGAAGCAAGACCAGACAGGGGUCGUGUUGCCCGCACGAUGACUCCGGGUUGGUCGCUCGAGCCCAGCGGCAACGCUGGGCCUAGAAGAAUGGUCGCCACAAGACAGAACUCGGCUUAACGCCCUCUUCGACG